UACGGAGGGGGCUAGCGUUGUUCGGAAUUACUGGGCGUAAAGCGCACGUAGGCGGCUUUGUAAGUUAGAGGUGAAAGCCCGGGGCUCAACUCCGGAAUUGCCUUUAAGACUGCAUCGCUAGAAUUGUGGAGAGGUAAGUGGAAUUCCGAGUGUAGAGGUGAAAUUCGUAGAUAUUGGGUGGAACACCGGUGGCGAAAGCGGCCCCCUGGCCCGGUCCUGACGCUGAGGCGCGAAAGCGUGGGGAGCAAACAGG
rnacentral:rRNA from 1 species